GAUGAAGAACGCAGCGAAAUGCGAUAAGUAAUGUGAAUUGCAGAAUUCAGUGAAUCAUCGAAUCUUUGAACGCAUCUUGCGCUCCUUGGUAUUCUGAGGAGCAUGCCUGUUUGAGUGUCAUUAAAUUCUCAACCGCACUGACUUUGAAUUGGUGUGGCUUGGAUUUGGGGGGAAAAUUGUUGUGGGCUUUUUUGUAUAGUCUGCUCCCCUGAAAUUGAUUAGCGGUACCUUUGUGGAACUGUCUACAGGUGUGAUAAUUAUCUACAUCCUAGACAUCUGCUGGAAUGCUGCUUUCCAAACCUUACUUGUAUUGACAAUCUUGACCUCAAAUCAGGUAGGACUACCCGCUGAACUUAAGCAUAUCAAUAAGCGGAGGA
rnacentral:misc_RNA from 1 species